rnacentral:rRNA from 1 species
ACUCUGGAAUAAGCGUUGGAAACGACGUCUAAUACCGGAUACGAGCUUCCGCCGCAUGGUGAGGAGCUGGAAAGAAUUUCGGUCAAGGAUGGACUCGCGGCCUAUCAGGUAGUUGGUGAGGUAAUGGCUCACCAAGCCUACGACGGGUAGCCGGCCUGAGAGGGUGACCGGCCACACUGGAACUGAGACACGGUCCAGACUCCUACGGGAGGCAGCAGUGGGGAAUAUUGCACAAUGGGCGCAAGCCUGAUGCAGCAACGCCGCGUGAGGGACGACGGCCUUCGGGUUGUAAACCUCUUUUAGUAGGGAAGAAGCGAAAGUGACGGUACCUGCAGAAAAAGCACCGGCUAACUACGUGCCAGCAGCCGCGGUAAUACGUAGGGUGCAAGCGUUAUCCGGAAUUAUUGGGCGUAAAGAGCUCGUAGGCGGUUUGUCGCGUCUGCUGUGAAAACUGGGGGCUCAACCCCCAGCCUGCAGUGGGUACGGGCAGACUAGAGUGCGGUAGGGGAGAUUGGAAUUCCUGGUGUAGCGGUGGAAUGCGCAGAUAUCAGGAGGAACACCGAUGGCGAAGGCAGAUCUCUGGGCCGUAACUGACGCUGAGGAGCGAAAGCAUGGGGAGCGAACAGGAUUAGAUACCCUG